UACGUAGGGUGCGAGCGUUGUCCGGAAUUAUUGGGCGUAAAGAGCUCGUAGGCGGUGUGUCGCGUCGGCCGUGAAAACCUGGGGCUCAACUCUGGGCGUGCGGUCGAUACGGGCAUCACUAGAGUUCGGCAGGGGAGACUGGAAUUCCUGGUGUAGCGGUGAAAUGCGCAGAUAUCAGGAAGAACACCCGUGGCGAAGGCGGCUCUCUGGGACGGUACUGACGCUGAGACGCGAAAGCGUGGGGAGCGAACAGG
rnacentral:rRNA from 1 species